UUUUUCCUCUUGUAUAUAAGGCUUCUUUUUGUUUUUUAAUUCGACCUCUUCAAGGCGACUCUCACAACACUCCGUGUCGCAUUCCACAAGCAACUUUCUACGCAUAAAAUUCAAGAAUUCCGAAACGCGUUUCCCAUCUUCUCUAUGUGAAAUAUAUUUAUUUCCCUGGUACGUCUAAUUAUGGAUUUUUGAUUAUAUUCCAUGGUUGUGUCGAUAGAUUUGUAUGGGAAAAAUCGGAGAGAUAAAUCACUGGCUGUUCGUGUGGUAUUAUUCAAACAUAUUCAGACAUGUUUGGAAUUCCAGUCAUUGGAAUAUUAUCAUGGAAAAUUUAUUCGAUUCCUCGGCACACGUACCAAUCGGCAUUUACCUAUGGAACCUAUGGAGAGUUAUUUCUAGAUUGGCUGAUACGGGAUUAUGAUUGUGUUGACGAAGAGUUGGAGGAAAGUGAUCGCAUUAGUUUAUGACAUUGAUAAGCUACUUGCCAGUGAGAUCGGUUUGAAUCAGUAUUUGUCUUUAUUCUUUGGUUAUUUUUUAAAUUAUCCGUCAGAUAUGUUUCUUAUCAGCUUCACGAUAACAAUGACUGAGGAUAUGGUGGCAACAAAAUGAAGGUACAAUCAAGAAUUUAGCUCCAACAGUUAAGAAACAGCACUGUGUGGCAUGCAACGAAAGGAAUAUGCGUUGAGACUGGAGGUACCGUUAAUUCGGCUGGAACGUAGCAAUUACGAAUUCUCACUCGAUGCCGGCAUAUCGAUGAUUAGUCGAAUCCGAGAGAAUCCUGGAGGCGCACAGAAUCGAGAUUUAAAUACGCCAAUGAAAUUCCAUUGAUUCGCACUUUCAUUUGAUUUGACGAUGGCAUUACGUGCAGCUGGUUGGGUUAUUACAGGAAUAAAUGUUGAUUUUAUUCUAAAUCACUCGCUAACUGUACCCGAAGGAUCUCUGGUUGGUCGGAUUAUUACUGUAAAUUCCAAUGUACUCUUGGAAUUUCAAACAUGGGAGGAGGUCUGUGUUUCCUGGAAGAUACAUCGAUCGAAAGAUUAACGAAUGGGAUGGUCAAUCGAUGUUGGCGAGGAGAAACACAUGGAACAAGGAGCGCCACUUCAAUGCACUGGGCCUUAUAUUAUCAAGUAACAACGGGGUUUCCACUUUUCUUAAGAAACAUAAGUACAUGGAUCACAUAUUAUUUUAACCGUUUCAAUUCCCCCAGAAUGCACAGUAUCAUCAGCGAUAAUUAUCCAUCAUUAUCCAUCAUUAUCCAUCAUUGCAGAAGAAUUUAUUCCCCAAUUUUCCUUUCGCACCUAUUCAUCUGCCAUCGUCUAUCACGAGUCUAAUGGAUUUUUGGUAAUUAAUAGAAUUUUAACAAACACUCAC